UACGUAGGGACCAAGCGUUGUUCGGAUUUACUGGGCGUAAAGGGCGCGUAGGCGGCUGAGCAAGUCGAGUGUGAAAUCCCCGGGCUUAACUUGGGAAUUGCGCUCGAAACUACUCGGCUGGAGUAUGGCAGAGGAAGGUGGAAUUCCACGUGUAGCGGUGAAAUGCGUAGAGAUGUGGAGGUACACCGAUGGCGAAGGCAGCCUUCUGGGCCAAUACUGACGCUCAUGCACGAAAGCGUGGGGAGCAAACAGG
rnacentral:rRNA from 1 species